GAUGAACGCUAGCUACAGGCUUAACACAUGCAAGUCGAGGGGAAACGGCAUUAAGUGCUUGCACUUUUUGGACGUCGACCGGCGCACGGGUGAGUAACGCGUAUCCAACCUUCCCAUGACUAAGGGAUAACCUGCCGAAAGGCAGACUAAUACCUUAUGGUCUUCACUGACGGCAUCAGAUGUGAAGUAAAGAUUUAUCGGUUAUGGAUGGGGAUGCGUCUGAUUAGCUUGUUGGCGGGGUAACGGCCCACCAAGGCAACGAUCAGUAGGGGUUCUGAGAGGAAGGUCCCCCACAUUGGAACUGAGGCACGGUCCAAACUCCUACGGGAGGCAGCAGUGAGGAAUAUUGGUCAAUGGGCGAGAGCCUGAACCAGCCAAGUAGCGUGCAGGAUGACGGCCCUAUGGGUUGUAAACUGCUUUUGUAUGGGGAUAAAGUCAAUCACGUGUGAUUGUUUGCAGGUACCAUACGAAUAAGGACCGGCUAAUUCCGUG
rnacentral:rRNA from 1 species